UACAGAGGGUGCAAGCGUUGUUCGGAAUUAUUGGGCGUAAAGGGAGUGUAGGCGGUUCUCUAAGUCUAUUGUGAAAUCUUCGGGCUUAGCCUGACAAAGUGCAGUGGAAACUGGAGAACUAGAGUGUCGGAGAGGAAAGCGGAAUUCCCGGUGUAGAGGUGAAAUUCGUAGAGAUCGGGAGGAACACCAGUGGCGAAGGCGGCUUUCUGGCUGACAACUGACGCUGAGACUCGAAAGCAUGGGGAGCAAACAGG
rnacentral:rRNA from 1 species